AUGGUGUCGGUGCCAACAGGGCGCAGGGGUGGGGGUGGGGGGAUGGGCUGCUGUCUCUUCAAGUACUUGGUACCAAGAAAACAGCUGUAUGAUCUCAAAGGGGCUGCAGUGGCCCCGUCUUUCACCCGCAGCCUUCCAGCAAGAAAGGGAAUGCUGCCUACCCUGGGCCCUGUUCAAAGCGUCACAGCCUCAGCUCUGACAUCAAGAACUGAGCAGUCGCACAAGAAGUCAAGUGGCCACAGAGUGAACCAUCUCAGGGAGCUGGAGCUGGCCAAGGAGGCAGGCCCAGACAGGAACCCCCAGCUCCGCUCCCAGGCUCUUGCUCCUAGAAAUUACUCAGAAGCAUCUUUCUUUAAAGGGAUUUUGAAGCCAGUUAGUCUCUGCCCAAAGAGCUGGCUGAGGAGGUCAUUCUGGGCCUCGGCCGUCCGGUGGGUGUGUGGCUCGGCAGGUUCAGCACCGUGGACAGCUCUGCCCCUCUUGGGGGUCCUGAGCAGGGGUCUCCCCUGGGGGAAGGCCUUGUCCAGUCUGUCCUUCCUGUGUGUGUGGCCUGGCUCUGCCUUCCGCUGCUCUGAGGGUGGUGGCCUGGGUUUGUUCUGGCUGUUGGGCUUGGUCUUGGUCGGGAGCACUCGGCUGGGAGUUGCCUGCUUCCGAGGGGUACGGGGGGGCUUGUCAGGGGCCGAGGGGGCUCUCCCAAAGCCCCCCACACUUUCACUCCUGGCUGGCCCUGGAACCUGGCCCUUUUUCCUCUUCAUACUGCUUUCUCCCUUCUCCUUGGGACCUGGGCUCCCGCGCGGCCCCUGCUCACCAGCUUCCCUUGGCCCCUUGGUGCAGCUCUUGGCUUGGGCUCGAUGGGGGAGCCUGUCUGGUGCAGGGCUCCGGCUGGGGAAGCUGGGCUUGGCUGGGGUGGUGGCUGUCUCGCUCUGGAGCUGCCCGCUGGCUGGCUGGGGCUGGCUGCCACCUCCCGUCUUCGUGCUGGGGCGAGGGCUUCCACUGCCCUGGGAGCUGGGGCCUGGUUUGGCUUUGGGGGUGGCGGGCUUCGUCCCAUUCUCUGUGCCACGGGCCAGCUCUCCGGGUGCCAGGCUCCCCACUGCCUUCCUUGGGUGCACUGGGAACUUGGGUGCUUUGCUGGGGGUGGACGCUGCCGACCUGUCCUUUGACGAGCUCUGA
rnacentral:lncRNA from 1 species